UGGUGAGGUAACCGCUCACCAGGACGACGACGGAUAGGGCACCUGAUUCCCCGACCCCCCUCCUGGAACUGAUACACGGUCCUAACUCCUACGGCAGGCAGCAAUAAUGAAUAUUGCACAAUGGGCGCAAGCCUGAUUCCUAACCCCGCGUGAGGGAUGAAGGGUUUCGGAUCGUAAACCUCUUUUCUGUGUGAAGAGCAAGGACGGUAGCUCAGGAAUAAGUCUUGGCUAACUACUUGCCCUCAGUCGCUGUAAUCCCGACGAGGCGAGCGUUAUCCUGAAUUACUGGGCGUAAAGCGCUCGUAGGCGGCGCUGCCACUGGUGCGUGAAAGCUCCCGGCUCAACUGGGAUAGGCCGUACCGAACUGCGGUGCUAGAGACAGAUAGAGGUCGACAGAAAUUCCGGGUGGAGUGGUGAAAUGCGUAGAGAUCCGGACGAAUACCAUAUGCAAUAGCGGUCGGCUGGGUCUGGUCUGACGCUGAGGUGCGAAAGUGUGGGGAGCGAACGGGAUUAGAAACCCCGGUAGUCCACACCGUAAACGAUGCAUACUAGUUGUUAGGUGCCUACGGGCGCUGAGUGACGAAGCCAACGCGUUAAGUAUGCCGCCUGGGGAGUACGGUCGCAAGGCUAAAACUCAAAGGAAUUGACGGGGGCCCGCACAAGCAGCGGAGCGUGUGGUUUAAUUCGAGGCUACGCGAAGAACCUUACCUGGGCUUGACAUGAUAGUAGUACCCUGGUGGAAACAUCGGGGGACCUUCGGGAGCUAUCACAGGUGCUGCAUGGCUGUCGUCAGCUCGUGCCGUGAGGUGUUCGGUUAAGUCCGAAAACGAGCGCAACCCCUGGCGUUAGUUACAAGUGUCUAACGCGACUGCCCGGGGAAACUGGGAGGAAGGUGGGGAUGACGUCAAGUCAGCAUGGCCUUUAUGUCCAGGGCGACACACACGCUACAAUGGCCGGUACAAUAGGCAGCCAAGCCGCGAGGUGGAGCGAAUCCAACAAAACCGGUCUCAGUUCAGAUUGUAGGCUGCAACUCGCCUGCAUGAAGUCGGAGUUGCUAGUAAACGCGGAUCAGCCACGCCGCGUUGAAUACGUUCCCGGGCCUUGUACACACCGCCCGUCACGUCAUGGAAGCUGGUCACGCCUGAAGUCGGUGAGCGAACCGAAAGGACGCA
rnacentral:rRNA from 1 species